rfam:Belliella baltica DSM 15883, complete genome.
GUCUCUGGGUGUCGGGAACACCUAAGAGAAGUCAGCCGAGGUCGUAGUAGUUGCCGGUAACGAGCUGUAAGAGCUACAGAGGUCUCACUGGGCAGCGAAGGAC